GAAGCGUAGUGGUAUCCUGAGUAGCGCGGGACACGAGGAAUCUUGCGUGAAUCUGCCGGGACCAUCCGGUAAGGCUAAAUACUCCCGAGAGACCGAUAGCGAACCAGUACUGUGAAGGAAAGGUGAAAAGCACUUCGAAUAGAAGAGUGAAAUAGUCCCUGAAACCGUGCGCCUACAAGCGGUCGGAGCUGCUUCAGCAGUGACGGCGUGCCUUUUGCAUAAUGAACCUACGAGUUACUUUUUCCGGCAAGGUUAAGGAUCUUGAGAUCCGCAGCCGAAGCGAAAGCGAGUCUUAACAGGGCGAUUAGUCGGAAGGAGUAGACGCGAAACCAAGUGAUCUACCCUUGGUCAGGUUGAAGGUUAGGUAACACUAACUGGAGGACCGAACCGAUAAGCGUUGAAAAGCUUCCGGAUGAACUGAGGGUGGGGGUGAAAGGCUAAUCAAACUUGGAGAUAGCUCGUACUCCCCGAAAUGCAUUUAGGUGCAGCCUUGGGAAUUACUACUGUGAGGUAGAGCGACUGAUAAGAUGCGAGGGCUUCACCGCCUAUCAAGUCUUGAUAAACUCCGAAUGCGCAGUAGUUCGAUCCCAGGAGUGAGGGCAUGGGUGCUAAGGUCCAUGUCCUAAAGGAGAAGAAUCCGGACCAUCAGCUAAGGUCCCGAAAUAAUUGCUAAGUUGAACUAACGAAGUCAGAUUGCUAAGACAGCUAGGAUGUUGGCUUGGAAGCAGCCAUUCAUUUAAAGAGUGCGUAACAGCUCACUAGUCGAGGAGUUUGGCGUGGAUAAUAAUCGGGCAUUAAGCAAUUUACCGAAGCUAUGGGAUCAGUAAUGAUCGGUAGGGGAGCAUUCCACUCUGCGUCGAAGGUGAAGCGUGAGCUUUGCUGGAGCGUGUGGAAAAGCAAAUGUAGGUAUAAGUAACGAUAAAGGGGGUGAGAAACCCCCUCGCCGAAAGACUAAGGUUUCCUGAUCAACGCUAAUCGGAUCAGGGUUAGUCGGGUCCUAAGGCUCAGCCGAACGGUGAGGCCGAUGGCAGAACAGGUUAAUAUUCCUGUACUACCUUAAGGAGUGACGUGGAGACGGAGGCGUGAUAGCGCCGCGGACUGACGGAAUAGUCCGUUGAAGGGUGUAGAUGUUGAUCUUUGCAGGCAAAUCCACAAAGAGAGUCGAACCUGAUAGUAUACCAAAUUCUUCGGAAUAAGGUAAUAGUGCGUGUAAGCAUACUCCCAAGAAAAUCCGCUAAACUUAAUCUUUAAGGUACCCGUACCGCAAACGGACACACGUAGUCGGGUUGAAUAUACUAAGGCGCUUGAGUGAUUCACGGUUAAGGAACUAGGCAAAUUGACCCUGUAACUUCGGGAUAAAGGGUCCCAACGAGAGUUGGGCGCAGAGAAUAGGUCCAGGCAACUGUUUAACAAAAACACAGGGCUGUGCCAAAUUGAAAGAUUACGUAUACAGCCUGACACCUGCCCGGUGCUGGAAGGUUAAGAGGAGAUGUCAUCGCAAGAGAAGCAUUGAAUUGAAGCCCCAGUAAACGGCGGCCGUAACUAUAACGGUCCUAAGGUAGCGAAAUUCCUUGUCGGGUAAGUUCCGACCUGCACGAAUGGUGUAAUGAUCUGGACACUGUCUCAACCGUGAGCUCAGUGAAAUUGUAGUAUCGGUGAAGAUGCCGAUUACCCGCGAUGGGACGAAAAGACCCCGUGAACCUUUACUAUAGCUUAACAUUGAAUUUGGGUAAUUGAUGUGUAGGAUAGGCCGGAGACUUCGAAGCAGGUACGCCAGUAUUUGUGGAGUCGCUGUUGAAAUACGGCCCUUUGAUUAUUUGAGUUCUAACUCGUAGAUGCGAGGACACUGUUUGGUGGGUAGUUUGACUGGGGUGGUCGCCUCCAAAAGUGUAACGGAGGCUUCUAAAGGUGCCCUCAGGACGAUUGGUAACCGUCCGUAGAGUGUAAUGGCAUAAGGGCGCUUGACUGGGAGACAGACAAGUCGAUCAGGUAGGAAACUAGAGCAUAGUGAUCCGGUGUUUCCGCAUGGAAGGGACAUCGCUCAAAGGAUAAAAGGUACUCCGGGGAUAACAGGCUGAUCCCUCCCAAGAGCUCAUAUCGACGGAGGGGUUUGGCACCUCGAUGUCGGCUCGUCACAUCCUGGGGCUGGAGAAGGUCCCAAGGGUUGGGCUGUUCGCCCAUUAAAGUGGCACGCGAGCUGGGUUCAGAACGUCGUGAGACAGUUCGGUCUCUAUCUAUCGUGGGCGUAUGAAAUUUGCGUGGCUCUGACACUAGUACGAGAGGACCGUGUUGGACUGACCGCUGGUUUACCAGUUGUGCCGCCAGGUGCAUCGCUGGGUAUCUAAGUCGGGAUUGGAUAAGUGCUGAAAGCAUCUAAGUACGAAGCCAGCCACAAGAUUAGAUUUCUUAGGGUCGUCAAAGACGAUGACGUUGAUAGGAUGCAGGUGUAAAGGUGGUAACAUCAAAGCCGAGCAUUACUAAUUGCCCGUUCACUUUCUUU
rnacentral:rRNA from 1 species